rnacentral:rRNA from 1 species
UACGGGGGGGGGCAAGCGUUGUUCGGAAUUACUGGGCGUAAAGGGCUCGUAGGCGGCCAACUAAGUCAGACGUGAAAUCCCUCAGCUUAACUGGGGAACUGCGUCUGAUACUGGAAGGCUUGAAUCCAGGAGAGGUGAGUGGAAUUCCGAGUGUAGAGGUGAAAUUCGUAGAUAUUGGGAAGAACACCGGUGGCGAAGGCGGCUCUCUGGACCGACACUGACGCUGAGGCGCGAAAGCGUGGGGAGCAAACAGG